rnacentral:rRNA from 1 species
GAUGAACGCUGGCGGCGUGCCUAAUACAUGCAAGUCGAGCGAACAGAUCAGGAGCUUGCUCCUCUGACGUUAUCGGCGGACGGGUGAGUAACACGUGGCUCACCUACCUAUUAGACUGGGAUAACUUCUGGAAACCGGAGCUAAUACCGGAUAAUAUAUUGAACUGCAUGGUUCAAUCGUUAAAGACGGUUUUGCUGUCACUUAUAGAUGGUUCCGCGCCGCCUUAGCUAGUUGGUAAGGUAACGGCUUACCAAGGCAACGAUGCGUAGCCGACCUGGGAGUGUGAUCGGCCACACUGGAACUGAGACACGGUCCAGACUCAUACGGGAGGGAGCAGUAGGGAAUCGUCAGCAAGGAGCGAAAGCCUGACGGAGAAGCGGCGCGUGAGUGAGGAAGGUCAUCGGGUCGUAAAAGUCUGUUAUUAGGGAAGAACAAAUGUGUAAGUAACUAUGAGCGUCUUGACGGUACCUGAUCAGAAAGCCACGGCUAACUACGUG